UCACAUGAGGAAAACGAAUGAAUUCUUGCGAACCGACCCGGGUAGUUUCACAAAAUAGAACUGGAACUAACAAACAUCUCAGCGUGGAUGAACCAAGAAGCUAAACAAAGUUUCACCUAGAUAUCAAUAUGCUUCGCGGAAAAAUGACGCCAAAUAAACUCCAGAGCAAAUCUAACAUUUUUCACUAGACUAUAUGUUAUUGAAGUCCGUCAAACCUAGAUCACGCAAAAAUUCAUCCAUAUCGUGUGCAUGUACACAUGCCACAUUGUUAGGGGAAUUUCUCACGAACUAUAGUAUUGUCGAGAAAGGUAGAGAGAGAGAGAGAGAGAGAGAGAAGAGAGAGAGCUGGAGAUUGAGAGGGACUGAGAUUUUUUCUGGGAAUGGAGGAGAGAGAGUCUAGAGAGAGAAAGAGAGAUAUGGUGGACGGAACUGCAGCUGAAGACAAAGAGGGGGGCCAAAGAGAUG